GUAGGGAGCGAGGAGCACAUGGCUAGGACUUUUGAGUCUCCAGUCGGCGCCUCUGGGGAAUUCGUCUCAGACACCGCCGAGCAAACAGGAGGAACUCGUGGGGCUUAAGCAGCGUCCCCGAGGACACAGAGACAACAGCCGCCUCUAUCUCCGCAUCUCACAUGGGGAAUUUGGUUGCCCUGGAGAGGGAAAGACAAGUCAUUAGUCAGAGAUGACACAGCACAAAAAUCAGCAAGCUUCCUCCCAUGGCCCCUUGCUAGGAGGGAGAAAACAGGGGUCUUGCGGGCCGGAUAGAAUGGCUUGGUGGGCCGCAUCCAGCCCGUGGGCAGCAUUUUGCCCACCUCUGCGAUCGGGGAACAGUGAGCAGGAUGUGCCCAGCUCAGUGUCCAGUCGCCCAGGAGACACAGCAGCAGCAGGAGAGGAACAAAUGCAAGCCUGAAGGGGUGCGGGGGUGCCAGUUCCUAGAUCAUCUGCCUUUAUCUCGGGCUCUGGGAGGAGCAGCGGGCAAUGCACAGAAGCCAACAUGCUGGUCCCGAUGGUGACCAAAAGGUGCCAGUUGCACCAAACCAUUUAAACCUGAAUGAAUGGAAGAAUAAAGCACUUGA